rnacentral:rRNA from 1 species
AUUGAACGCUGGCGGAAUGCUUUACACAUGCAAGUCGAACGGCAGCACGGGGGCAACCCUGGUGGCGAGUGGCGAACGGGUGAGUAAUACAUCGGAACGUGCCCAGCCGUGGGGGAUAACGUAGCGAAAGCUAGGCUAAUACCGCAUACGAACUGAGGUCGAAAGCGGGGGAUCGCAAGACCCCGCCCGCUCGGAGCGGCCGAUGGCAGAUUAGGUCGUUGGUGGGGUAGAGGCUCACCAAGCCGACGAUCUGUAGCUGGUCUGAGAGGACGACCAGCCACACUGGGACUGAGACACGGCCCAGACUCCUACGGGAGGCAGCAGUGGGGAAUUUUGGACAAUGGGCGCAAGCCUGAUCCAGCCAUUCCGCGUGCAGGAUGAAGGCCCUCGGGUUGUAAACUGCUUUUGUACGGAACGAAAAGGCUCCCUCUAAUACAGGGGGCAGAUGACGGUACCGUAAGAAUAAGCACCGGCUAACUACGUGCCAGCCGCCGCCGUAAUAC